AUGUACAUCUUGCCCGAAGGUGUACAUAGCUCCUUUGACAAGGAGCUGGCUAGGUUCUUCUGGCAGGCAAGGGAUGGUCGGCCCAAGUACCAUAUGGUGAAGUGGGCUGACAUAUGCUUGCCGAAGGACCGAGGUGGGUUGGGCAUCCCUGCGUCUCGCCGGAUGAACGUUGCGCUUAUGCUGCGUUGGGUUUGGCGGAUCUUGCGGGGAGAUGGGGUGUGUGGCUGCAGCUGA
rnacentral:rRNA from 1 species